ACACUGAAAGGAGGUGAUCCUGAGUUAUGAGUUCCUUCAGGAUGCGUGAGGUGGCUGCUCGCUAGAGCCGCCCCUGCCUGUGGCAGUGACGGGGCCCACGGCCUCGGCCUCCGGCUCAGGCGAAUCCCAAGCAGUCACCCGGCCCGUGGGCUCACCGGUACAUCCCCGGUGCCUCGACCGCCGUCCCCGCCCAGCGGGGCCCGGCCCGAGGAGCAGCCCACGGGCCGUCU
rnacentral:sRNA from 1 species